rnacentral:rRNA from 1 species
UACGAACUGUGCGAACGUUAUUCGGAAUCACUGGGCUUAAAGGGUGCGUAGGCGGUUACUUAAGUAGGGUGUGAAAUGCCCCGGCUCAACCGGGGAACUGCGCUCUAAACUGGGUAGCUUGAGUAAGAUAGAGGUGUGCGGAACUUCCGGUGGAGCGGUGAAAUGUGUUGAUAUCGGAGGGAACACCAUUGGCGAAAGCGGCACACUGGGUCUUAACUGACGCUGAGGCACGAAAGCCAGGGGAGCGAACGGG